rnacentral:rRNA from 1 species
GACGAACGCUGGCGGCGUGCUUAACACAUGCAAGUGGAGCGACGAACCCUUCGGGGGGCAAAGCCGCGAACGGGUGAGUAACACGUGGGUAACCUGCCCCGAUGACUGGGACAACCCGGGGAAACCCGGGCUAAUACCGGAUGAUGUGCACACACUUAAGUGUGUUCACUAAAGGUAGCUUCGGCUUCCGCAUUGGGAGGGGCCCGCGGCCCAUUAGCUUGUUGGUGAGGUAACGGCUCACCAAGGCAACGAUGGGUAGCUGGUCUGAGAGGACGAUCAGCCACACUGGGACUGAGACACGGCCCAGACUCCUACGGGAGGCAGCAGUGGGGAAUCUUGCGCAAUGCGCGAAAGCGUGACGCAGCAACGCCGCGUGAGGGAAGACGGCCUUCGGGUUGUAAACCUCUUUCAGUAGGGACGAAGGCCGGCCGGUGAAUAGCCGUGUCGGUUGACGGUACCUUCAGAAGAAGCUCCGGCUAACUACGUGCCAGCCGCCGCAGUAA